UAAGUAUCAGCAGCUUUGGGGAUCGUCAGGAAUGUUUCAUGUGUAAAGUGGUCCCGACACCAAAAUGUUGGAGCACGGCUGCUGUGAUUACCAUUCUAGAAGUGGAAUCGGGAGGCAAGAGAUAUGUGCUCUUGCAUUUUGGUAGAGAUUGUCAAGUAGCCCUCAGGAAACGUUUAGUGGGCACCGCCCGUGCAUCGCGGGUGGUGUCAUGGCUGACGCUCAUGACUGACACCAACUUACAGCCCGGGGACUCGGUGUAUAUUCUGAUGGACGUCUGAUGGACGAUGAGGUCCUCGUCCUCUGUAAUCUACAGGAUGAAUUCCACCACUGGCUUCCCACACAAGAGACCAGAUCUGCCGUCCUGGGAUAAAACCCCUCUGAUCACAGACAGAGGCCGCUGUCACCAAUUUGCCUUCUCACCGUUCCGCAGGCCAGAGGUCUGCGAUCAGGUGUGGCCAGGGCCGUGUUCUCGCAGGAGGCUCCAGGGGAGGACCCUUCCUCACCUUCCCCGGAUUCUGGUGGUGCCCACCCAUCCUUGGCGUUCCUUGGUUUACGACUUCCGCGUCCAUCAUACGUUGUUUGCUCUGUACAUCUGUCUUCCUGAGACGUUCUCUUCUCUGCCUGUCUUCUGUCGUUCUUACAAGGACACCAGUCACAUGGGACCAAGGGCCCACGCUAAUCCAGGAUGACCUUGUCGUAGUCUAACUAACUGCAUCCACAGAGCCCCUAUUUCCAAAUGUGGGCACCUGCACAGGCAUAUCAAGCUAAAGAAGUCAAAACCUCCCUGCCCUCAGGAGCGUACAUUCUAGCAGAGGAGAAAAACAGGAAAGAAAUAGACGUAUAACAUAAUGGCAGGAAAGGAAGAAGGAGCAGAGCAGCACGUGAAGGAGGUGGAGAGUGGACAGAGGGUGCUGAUGCCAGAUUGAGGGAGUGGGAGAAGGUCUCUCUCUGGGAAGCUGACGUUUGAGCAAAGACUGGAAGCAGAGAGGAGUAGGAGCCACGUGAAUGUCUGAGGAGAAAGAUGCUCCACACAAAGGCCAGGCAGCGUGGGAGCCCUCUGGGAGCUGGUGCGGGAGCACUCUUGUAGCCAGCAUGGGAGCACUCUAGGAGCCAACGUGGGAGCACCUCGGAGCCAGCGUGGGAGCACCCCAGGAGCCGAUGCAGGAGCACUCUUGUAGGCAGCUUGGGAACACUCUAGGAGCCAGCAUGGGAGCACCUAGGAACCAGUGUGGGAUGACUCUAGGAGCCAACACGGGAGCACUCUAGGAGCCAACAUAAGAGCCAAUAUGGCCUGCUCUAGGAAAAGCCAUCUGGUCGGAUCAGCCAACUUGCAGCAGAGAGUGGAAAGAAAUGUGGCUGGAGACAGAGCGGCUAUUUUAGACGUUACCCGACGUGGGCUAAGCAGUUUGGCUUGUAUUUGCCAUGUGCUACUAAAGGCCGUGGAGCCCUGGUGAGAUGCGACCCAACUCGUGCUUUUGGAAGAGCACCCUGGCUACUCGCCAGAGUUAAAAGGAAUGAGAAGUCCGGCGUGGCCCCUGCAGUGGUUCGGGGGACGAUGACGGUGUCUUUGGGCUGGGUGGCACCAGUAGCAAGGUGAGUCUUGUAACUUCCCCGAAAUACUCUGUUUUAUCUCCCACAACUAGAUCUCUGAUCUGUCUGCGCAGGAACUAUCUGUGGUCUAAUUGGCCAGGCCCCAUCGAUUGAAAAGGUCACCCUAGAAGAGACCCCAGAGACAUGACUUUCUCUACCGUGUGAGGACCCAGCAGAAGACGGCCAUCGACCAAGCCGGAAGUGGGCUCGCCGGGAACCGAAGUGGCCGCAUCUUCUCUGACUUCCAGCCUCCAGAACUGUGAAACAAGUGCCUGGUGGUUAGGCCGCCCCGUUACAGUAUUUUGCCGCAGGAACUCGAAUGAGAUAGCAAACCGCCACGUGGGUGGGGUUCGAGGACCGUUCACUCUGCCAAAUAAGCCAGAUACAAAAAAGUAGGCACUGAAGGGUUCCACUUGUCCAAGGCGCCUACAACAGGCAAAUUCACAGAGACAGAAAGUAGA